ensembl:snRNA
GUGUUGUAUGAAAGGAGAGAAGGCUAGCACUCUCCAUGACAAGUAUGGAAGAGGCUUUUAGACCUGACAACAUAUACCAUGAAGACACUGACACUUAUUUUGUGGCAUAUAACCAUUUGU